rnacentral:lncRNA from 1 species
GUAGGUACCCACCAUCAGCUCUUUCUAUGUCUUUCUUUGCCCUCUUCCAGGCAGGACUGGAAGUUCUGGAAGCAGUCACACUUCAGUGACAUUGGUGGAUGGCCUUGGGUUCAUCCACCAGAUCAGGCCCUUUCUAAGUGUGACAGUGAAGUAAGUACUCCUGUAUUUUAAAAAAUAUAUGGGUGUUUUGUCUACAUAUAUGUCUGUGUACCACGUUCAUGCCUUGUGCCAGCAGAGGCUAGAAGAUCCCUGAGAAUGAAUUAGGCAGUGGGGGGGCCACCAUGUGGGUGUUGGAACUAAGCCCAUAUCCUCGGUAAGAGCAGCAAGUGCUCUUAGCGACUUUGUAACUACAGUAUACUUACUAUAUGUGCCUACAUCACCAUUGUGAUCUUUAGCAUUAUUAUACUAUUUGCCUUUUUGCUUGAUUUUUCCCCCUUCAGUGUAUUUUGUAGACCUCAAUACCCAUGAAAUGCCUCAUAAAACUGGUUGGGUAAGGACCACCUGUAGAUUCUAUUUGAUUCUUGCAGAUUGAUUAGCUAAAUCCAACUAUACAAACCUGAACUGAAACAGCUAAAUAGUUUUGUGCCUUACAUUUUCAGUCUUUGUUCCUUUCUGAAGUGCCACAUUUUCUGGUUGGAAGAGUGAAAGGCUAGCAUUGAAGAUGCACUGAUGUGAUAUUGCAGAGUUGGAAGUUCAGCCCUCACCAUAUUUCAUAUCAAAUACCAACUAGCUGAGAAGAAGUUGAAAUUGGAAACAACCUAAAUGUCCACCCAUGAAUGAAUGAAUAAAGAAAAUGUGGUACGUUUACGAACUGGAAUAUUACUGCCAUUUAAAAUAAUGGAACCACAAAAUUGCAGAUCAGUGCCUUGCUCAGCCAUCAUCAGAGAAGCUUCCUCCUGGAGCAGAUGGGAAAAAAUACCGAGAUCCACAGCCAGAAAAUAUGCAGAGAGAGACCUCAAAAGCACUAAAUGGGAUGUCUCCAUCAAUUCUUUCCCCUCAUGGCUCAGGAAACUGUGAAAGAG